rnacentral:rRNA from 1 species
GUGGGGAAUAUUGGACAAUGGGCGAAAGCCUGAUCCAGCCAUGCCGCGUGUGUGAAGAAGGUCUUCGGAUUGUAAAGCACUUUAAGUUGGGAGGAAGGGCAGUAAGUUAAUACCUUGCUGUUUUGACGUUACCGACAGAAUAAGCACCGGCUAACUUCGUGCCAGCAGCCGCGGUAAUACGAAGGGUGCAAGCGUUAAGCGGAAUUACUGGGCGUAAAGCGCGCGUAGGUGGUUUUGUAAGUUGGAGGUGAAAUCCCCGGGCUCAACCUGGGACCUGCCUCGAAAACUGCAUGACUAGAGUACGGUAGAGGGUAGUGGAAUUUCCUGGGUAGCGGUGAAAUGCGUAGAUAUAGGAAGGAACACCAGUGGCGAAGGCGACCACCUGGACUGAUACUGACACUGAGGUGCGAAAGCGUGGGUAGCAAACAGGAUUAGAAACCCGUUUAGUCC